CUGAGCUCCUCAUCCCUGGUGUUGGACUUCAUAGUUUUAUUAGUGUUCCUUGUGUAUUUAUCUACUAUAGGGAAUUUAAGUACUUGUCUCAGUUUGUGUCUGCUCUCCCACACAUGUGGGGGGCGUUGUCACUGGUACUGGUGUUUGUUACGUGGAGCCAGUGUAAUUAAGGUUACCCAUUGGUGCUUCAACACUCUUCCUGUACACUCAUCUCAUACUGUAUGAACCUUAGGAUACUGAUUCUUACGAAUCCGCGAAAGAGAAAGUUCUACAUGGCUGCAUUGCUACAGAGGUAAAUUCACCAGAGAUCGACGAGGUAAAUUCACCAGAGAUCGACGAGGUAAAUCCACCAGAUAUCGACGAGGUAAAUCCACCAGAUAUCGACGAGGUCACCCUGCCUUGGUGAGACACGCCCAAUGUGUUAAAAAAAAGGAUGCACUUGUAGGUAGCAGACAUAAUCUGUCUUAGGUAAAGGGAGUAUCUUAAAUCCAUAUUCAGUGUCAAAAAAUAAUUGAAUCAAAGAUAAUUAUCACUCAUAAUUUGAAUAAAAUUGACGAAAGAAAAAACACUGCCUGUAAGCAGAAAUUAAUUAACUAGUAUCAAAAAUAUUAUUAAUUAUUAAUAAUAAACUUGACAAAUUCUUGAAUAAGAGGAUAUGAACAUGUGAAACAAAUCUAUUUUAAAAGGCAGGAAUUAAAAAAAAACUCUCGCUGUUUCAUUUAACAGACAAAGAUUUUCCAUCAUCGAUUAAAUUCUCAGUUAUUCUCGUUGGCUGACACGAACUGACAAUGUCUCUGACCUUAUUUAAAAGAAGGAUAUGGAGAGUGUUUACUGCAGAAAACUAAAGAGCAUUUAUAUCUCAAGGUUCUCCUGAGAGUCGCAGUCUUACAUCUCUUCAUCAGGUGAAGUAAACAGAUUUUAAUAUUAGCCAAUUCGAACUUAUACUGAGACCUACAUAAACGCCAUCCUUAACAACCAGAAGUGAGAAGAUCAAAAUUCCUAUUAUUGUGAGCAACUCAAUAACUUCUCAUUGGAAUAUACCAACAAUUCUUCUUCCUUGUUUCAUACAGUUCAUAUAGUUAAAUUAAUUGCGUUAGUAAUGUAGCUAUUUAAAUAAAAACGUUAGUGGUGAAUGAUAUUUCUGUGAACAACAGGCCUUUUAGGUGUGUUGGUACUGAUGGCACCGAAGGCUGCAGUGCGACUGCGGCCAACACGGUAGAAACUGGAAGACAAUCACAAGGUUUUUAAAGUGGUUCUACGUAUACAGUCGUUAUGUAUUCCUGUCACGGAGUGAUGGUAGGUGAGAGGGUGAUAAGACUGGCAAGCAUGAGAGGAGUUCCUCAGGAGUCAGUUCGGGAACCAGUUCUGUUCCUAAUAUAUGUAAGCAUCCUGAGAGAAAGAUAAAAUUCUACUGAGGAUAAAGCCGUGGAGAUGACAAAGGUAAAUUAUAAGAGGAACUGAACGGACUUAAGGAUUUUUUAAAAGAAAUGGCUAAUGUAAUUCAUCUUCAACAUGUGCAAAGUUCUACAAAACAGAGGGGCUUUUGAUCUUGGGAAUUGGUUCUGGUUCCCAAUUCCCUGAAUUAAGCCUGAAUACCUUCCAUCACCCCCCCCCCCUACAGGCGCUGUAUAAUCUUACGGGUUUAACGCUUCCCCAUGAUUUUAAUAAUGCAAAAUAGAGAGGGGGAGCAAACUAGCGCUGGAGAAAACGCUGGAGAGACUGUAACUACCAAUUUCGAGUUGAGAGAAUGAUUAUGUGAAGAGUUUCGUACCAAAUACAUCAGUGGGAGAGCACAUCAACAAAUACAUCAGUGGGAGAGCACAUCAAAAAAUCAGCACAAGCAACAUGUGAAUGUCUAGCAGACAAGAGAGCAAUACUCAGAAACUAAAAAAAAUCAUCCAGGAUUGUAUAUCUGAUUCAUGUCAGAUCUAACCCAUAGGUAACAGUUCAUUCAAAGAAAAUGGAAAAGGGUUAGAGAUCUGCAACAAGACUAGGCACAGAGCUGAGAAACUUCACCUACGAGAUCAUUAGAUAAAAGAAGAUCCAGGGGAUAUAAAAUCGUGUAAAAAAUACUCGUAGGACUUGACACGGUAGACAUGAUAUUACAGCCCAGGAGUCCAAAUGGCCUGUUAUCCUGGGUGUAAAGGGAGCAAAAUAAACACAGCAGAAAA